AAUUGCUGUCAAUUCCCAGUAAUGACCAAUAAUUGGUCAGGAGAAGAGACUUCUUUCAGUCCCCAGCAACUUCAACUUCCUUAGCUCUCACAACCACCUUUAAGGUAAAGUCACCUCAUGACACUGGUGCUAUACACAGGUACCUCUGUGUUCGUUCUUUAUUCAUCUUGAUUUCAGUUUGAUACACAGCUUUUUUGGUGUUUCACACAUGUAUUGUCAGAGUAGCAGGUAUUUCUUUUAAAGCUCCUUUUAUGCAAAGUGCAACUAAUGUAGUUUUCUUCAGAUAAAAACUUGGAGUCUUCUAAGUGUGGUUCUCUGUCAUCUCAGACCAUGAAAUCAAUGCACCUUUGUGUGUCACUCUUAUUUUAAGUCUUGGGUAUUUCUCAUACUUUAUGUUGACUGAAAUUAUAUUCACAUAAAUGUGGAACACCAGAAAAUCUAAGAAGUGAUGUACUAAACAUUUGCAUGACGGAUUAUAUUUGGUGACACUAGAACGUGUUUCAAAAAAAUAAAUGCUAAAAUCAUCUAUAGCUCUUCAGAAGUCCAGUUAGUUGAAAAAUCCAUUACACAGCUGGCUCAGUGGUACUGUGCUUGUUUUUUCAUAGCUAUCUUUGGUGCAAUAACGUUUAAUUUGUUCCCUUUCCCCUCCUCCUCUCAGGUAACAAGGCUGCUCUCCUUGAAGAUGGCAGGCCCUAGGGGAGAGAUGAAAGCUGCCUGUUGUAACUGCAACUCAAGAAGCGCUCAACAAAAUAGUAUUUUGGAAGUUGCUUUAUCCAUCCAUUCUAAUAUACUUACUCCAAGGCUAUGCAGUUAGCAAGGCCAUUACAGGAAUUUUUCUGCUUUCAUUUUUAUCAGGUGAUCGUAAUCAAGGAUAAAAGUGCAUCAGAGGAAGGGGCUCUAAACACCAUCUCCAGAGGAAUUCAGCUGCAUAUCAGUGAAGUAAAGAAUGACCAGGCAAUACUCUUUGAAAAUUGGAGACCAUUUGCAGCUGCUCUCUGCUGAGGAAAGUGAAUAAUAGGGUGCCCUCAAGGAAUUUCAAAGAGUUGGGUGUGUGGACAUCUUGAGACCAGUGCUGAAGUUGGAAUCUCUCUCUCAACUUUUGGUUCAAUAUUGGCUGUUUCUGACUGAUGAAAUAAAUUCUUUUUUUCUCUCCCA
rnacentral:lncRNA from 1 species